rnacentral:rRNA from 1 species
GACGAACGCUGGCGGCGUGCUUAACACAUGCNAGUCGAACGCUGAAGCCUAGCUUGCUGGGUGGAUGAGUGGCGAACGGGUGAGUAACACGUGAGUAACCUGCCCUCUUCUUUGGGAUAACGCCCGGAAACGGGUGCUAAUACUGGAUAUUCACUGAUCUUCGCAUGGGGGUUGGUGGAAAGGUUUUUUCUGGUGGGGGAUGGGCUCGCGGCCUAUCAGCUUGUUGGUGGGGUGAUGGCCUACCAAGGCUUUGACGGGUAGCCGGCCUGAGAGGGUGACCGGUCACAUUGGGACUGAGAUACGGCCCAGACUCCUACGGGAGGCAGCAGUGGGGAAUAUUGCACAAUGGGCGAAAGCCUGAUGCAGCGACGCCGCGUGAGGGAUGGAGGCCUUCGGGUUGUAAACCUCUUUCGCUCAUGGUCAAGCCGCAGCUUUGGGUUGUGGUGAGGGUAGUGGGUAAAGAAGCGCCGGCUAACUACGUGCCAGCAGCCGCGGUAAUACGUAGGGCGCGAGCGUUGUCCGGAAUUAUUGGGCGUAAAGGGCUUGUAGGCGGUUGGUCGCGUCUGCCGUGAAAUCCUCUGGCUUAACUGGGGGCGUGCGGUGGGUACGGGCUGACUUGAGUGCGGUAGGGGAGACUGGAACUCCUGGUGUAGCGGUGGAAUGCGCAGAUAUCAGGAAGAACACCGGUGGCGAAGGCGGGUCUCUGGGCCGUUACUGACGCUGAGGAGCGAAAGCGUGGGGAGCGAACAGG